CCGGGUUCAUGCUAAAGCCUUUCAACCAAUUCUCACAGUGAUUCCGAAGCAAGCCCCCAUAACAAGCCCACGGACCCCUCAGUGUUAAGGGUGAAGAAACCUUCAGGUCACCAUGGAGAGGUUUGUUGGAGAAUAUUAGACUGUUUCGAUUCUUCCAUAAAUUUUGAAUGGCUAUCUGGAAGAAGGUUCCCCACGGAAUUCCUAGAGAAGGAAGGUUGAGAGGAGGAGCAAUUAAAUUUGAUCCAGUCUCCCAACGGGAUAAAGAAGGUGGCUCGUUUAGACGACGAGAUGCAAACACUCUCCCAGAAAUCACGAGCGAUGGGACACUACCUAAGAAUAUGCAGGAUUGAUUCUUCUUGGCAGUUGCAGAAGGAUCAUCGUGGGUCCAUAGGAAGACCUCUGUUGGCCAAGUGAGAUCUGGUUGCCAACUUUCCAUGACAGAAAGCCAAAUAAAAAGUUUGAUCUUGGGGAUGGCGUUGCUCUUCCAAAUCCAAGACUAGUCCGCUUUAGGCGACAAAUUGGGACAGUUGAGGAGAGCAUAGUAGGGGAUCUUUGUUGAAAAAUACCCAUUGUUGGUGAGGCCCCAUACAAAACGAUCUUCAUGAUUUGUGGAGGAGCUGAGAGGGAUGCUGGUAAUGGCUUUCCUGAUGUCAGGGGGGCAGAGAAAGGGGAUGUUGUUGAAGUCCCAUGAUCUAGAGCUCGAAAUGAUCGUGCGAACAGUCCUUGAAGUCUCGGCUUGAGGUAAAGGGCCCUGUAUACAAUCACGUAAUGGGCGAUUAUCAAACCAAGUGUCGUUCCAGAGGUUCACCCUGGAUCCAUUAUCAAUGGCCCAUUUGGAUCCUCUGUCCCAUGCAAGCAAUUCCACUCUAAGAGCUUUCCAGUUAGCCGAUCCUUUCCAUAAUAAAUCCUAUCUUUGAUUCUCCAUUUUUUGUUUAAUGAGGCGAGCCCAAGGGGUAUCUUCCAGGAUAGCUCUCUUGACAAACUUCCCAAGGCAUGCUUUGUUCUUGAGAUCAGAUCUCGAAAUACCUAAACCGCAAUCAGCCUUAGGGAGAAUAACCGUGUCCCGAUUUACUAAAUGCAUCCUUCUCUUCUCGGAUGAGGAACCCCACCAGAAAUCGCGAUUUAGUCUAUCAAGAGAGAAAGUGAUAGACUGGGGCAGCAUCGCGCAUUUGUAUCGGGCAGGAUGGUAUGGCUGUCAUAACCGACUUUAUGAGUACCACUCUCCCUACUUGCGAUGACAAUUGAGACUUCCAACCCGUGAGUGUCUGUUGCAUUCCGUCCACAAUAUAUGAGAAGUCUUUGGCUCUAUUCGAUUUGAGGCCAAUGGGGAAUCCUAUAUACUUCCAAGAUCAUCAGUUAGCUCAAACUCAAGAGUAUUGGCAAAACGAUUUAUAGCCUCGGUUGGUGUAUUCUUUGAGAAUAGGAUUUUUGUAUUUUGGGUGC